UGGGGGGCGGGGGGGGGCCUAUACAUGCAAGUUCGAACGCGUCUUGGUUAUUGAUGUUAAGUGCUUGCAUUUAACUGAUUUAACAUUGAGACGAGUGGCGAACUGGUGAGUAACACGUGGGUAACCUGCCCUUGAAGUAGGGGAUAACACUUGGAAACAGGUGCUAAUACCGUAUAACAACCAAAACCACCUGGUUUUGGUUUAAAAGAUGGCUUCGGCUAUCACUUUAGGAUGGACCCGCGGCGUAUUAGCUUGUUGGUAAGGUAACGGCCUACCAAGGCAAUGAUACGUAGCCGACCUGAGAGGGUAAUCGGCCACAUUGGGACUGAGACACGGCCCAAACUCCUACGGGAGGCAGCAGUAGGGAAUCUUCCACAAUGGACGAAAGUCUGAUGGAGCAACGCCGCGUGAGUGAUGAAGGGUUUCGGCUCGUAAAACUCUGUUGUUGGAGAAGAACAGGUGUGAGAGUAACUGUUCACAUCUUGACGGUAUCCAACCAGAAAAGCCACGGCUAACUACGUGCCAGCAGCCGCGGUAAUACGUAGGUGGCAAGCGUUGUCCGGAUUUAUUGGGCGUAAAGCGAGCGCAGGCGGUUUCUUAGGUCUGAUGUGAAAGCCUUCGGCUUAACCCGGAGAAGUGCAUCGGAAACCAGGAGACUUGAGUGCAGAAGAGGACAGUGGAACUCCAUGUGUAGCGGUGAAAUGCGUAGAUAUAUGGAAGAACACCAGUGGCGAAGGCGGCUGUCUGGUCUGUAACUGACGCUGAGGCUCGAAAGCAUGGGUAGCGAACAGGAUUAGAUACCCUGGUAGUCCAUGCCGUAAACGAUGAGUGCUAAGUGUUGGAGGGUUUCCGCCCUUCAGUGCUGCAGCUAACGCAUUAAGCACUCCGCCUGGGGAGUACGACCGCAAGGUUGAAACUCAAAGGGAAUUGACGGGGGCCCGCACAAGCGGGUGGAAGCAUGUGGUUUAAUUCCGAUGCUACGCGAAGAACCCUUACCAGGUUCUUGACAUCUUCUGCCAACCCUAAGAGAUUAGGGCGUUCCCUUCGGGGACAGAAUGACCAGGUGGUGCAAUGGUUGUCGUCAGCUCGUGUCGUGAGAUGUUGGGUUAAGUCCCGGCAACGAGCCGCAACCCUUAUUGUUAGUUGCCAGCAUUCAGUUGGGCACUCUAGCAAGACUGCCGGUGACAAACCGGAGGAAGGUGGGGAUGACGUCAAAUCAUCAUGCCCCUUAUGACCUGGGCUACACACGUGCUACAAUGGACGGUACAACGAGUCGCGAAACCGCGAGGUCAAGCUAAUCUCUUAAAGCCGUUCUCAGUUCGGAUUGUAGGCUGCAACUCGCCUACAUGAAGUUGGAAUCGCUAGUAAUCGUGGAUCAGCAUGCCACGGUGAAUACGUUCCCGGGCCUUGUACACACCGCCCGUCACACCAUGAGAGUUUGUAACACCCAAAGCCGGUGAGGUAACCUUCGGGACCAGCCGUCUAAGGUGA
rnacentral:rRNA from 2 species